UACGAAGGGGGCUAGCGUUGUUCGGAAUCACUGGGCGUAAAGCGCACGUAGGCGGAUCUUUAAGUCAGGGGUGAAAUCCCGAGGCUCAACCUCGGAACUGCCUUUGAUACUGGGGAUCUCGAGUCCGGGAGAGGUGAGUGGAACUGCGAGUGUAGAGGUGAAAUUCGUAGAUAUUCGCAAGAACACCAGUGGCGAAGGCGGCUCACUGGCCCGGUACUGACGCUGAGAUACGAAAGCGUGGGGAGCAAACAGG
rnacentral:rRNA from 1 species